GUGAAAUAAAUCACACACAAACAUACACCCCUUUGUUUGAACGUGAACAUUUCUCCCAUCCCCUUUGUGAAAAGAACCGUCACUCCAGAAAUGGAAGGACGGUUCU
rnacentral:sRNA from 1 species